GGUCUCGUGGUAGUAGCGAACACAUCAGAUUGCAAAUCUGAAGACGCAGGCGAUAUUCCUGCCGGGGCUU
rnacentral:tRNA from 1 species